rnacentral:rRNA from 1 species
CCUACGGGCGGCAGCAGUGGGGAAUAUUGGACAAUGGGGGGAACCCUGAUCCAGCGACGCCGCGUGAGUGAAGAAGUAUUUCGGUAUGUAAAGCUCUAUCAGCAGGGAAGAAAGACAUGACGGUACCUGACUAAGAAGCCCCGGCUAACUACGUGCCAGCAGCCGCGGGAAUACGUAGGGGGCAAGCGUUAUCCGGAUUUACUGGGUGUAAAGGGAGCGUAGACGGGGAUGCAAGUCUGAAGUGAAAGGCGGGGGCCCAACCUCCGGACUGCUUUGGAAACUGUAUGGCUGGAGUGCAGGAGAGGUAAGUGGAAUUCCUAGUGUAGCGGUGAAAUGCGUAGAUAUUAGGAGGAACACCAGUGGCGAAGGCGGCUUACUGGACUGUAACUGACGUUGAGGCUCGAAAGCGUGGGGAGCAAACAGGAUUAGAUACCCGGGUAGUC